ACUGCCAUUUAUCUUAACUGCUAGCCGGGUUGAAGAUUCUGUCUCUGAAGGUUUAUUCCCUGCCUUUUGAUUUUAAGUUACUUGUACAGUGGAGAACGUCAACGAGAAGUAUGUCCCUUUUACUAUCCGAUUAAAGUUGCCCGUGUGGCCUAGGAUCCAGUGUCAUUCUUGAGGGCCUGGAGGAUGCCCAAAUGCGUCUUCCAGCCCGAAGCCGCGUGGGCUCGCCCGUCGCCGAAGCCCGUCGUCGAAGCAGGACGAGGAUGAGACGAUUAGGCUGCCGGCUAAGGGUGAGGUGUCGAGUGGAGCGAGAAGCUUUCCACCCACAGUAUUCCAAGAAGUAUUAUCAAUUCCUUGCGGGUAGAGGAUGUUCCUGACACAUCUUAGCAUCUCCGAGUGCUAGAAGGAUAGAGCUGACCGUAAGGAUCAGGUGAGGAAACUGAAGCACAAGCUACACAACUCCAGUGAGAAGCAGAGCUGGAACUGAUUCCACUUGGCUGAUUUCCCAGGUCAGCUAGAUCCUACCCCUCAUAUCCUGCAGUGCUUGCUUUCAGUGAACAGAAUAUCUACAGUAUUGUUUGAAUACUCGAGGCCUGGGGGGGCCCACCAUCUGAUAUCUGAAAACAGACUUCCUGUGAAGCAGGAGUGAUGGUUUCCUGAGAACAAAUGCUUCACUAUCAAGACAUGGAAAGAUAGCACUCGGCUGCUAGUAACAAAUUGCACCAAAGUUACAAAUGCAGACCAAGCCUUGGUUCCUGUAGAAAUCUUCAAAGAGGGGAUAAGUUUAGAUUUCCUACUGAUUUUGGAAGAAAGGAGAUUCUGUUUUUCCUAAGGAAGCCAGUCAUCCAUGAGCAGGAGACGUGUCUUCAGAAACUAAGAAGUGUAAUAUCCCUAAUGCUUAAACUCAUGGCAAGUCCAGAUCCAGAAAAACUGGCAGGUAGAACAGGGGAUGGAAAUGAAAAGUUCAAAUGUCUAUAGUAUACUUUGGAAAUAUUGUGCCUUGUAAGUUAAAAUGGCUCAACUGCCUGCAGAAUGAAGUGCUACAGGACUGGAGGAGACCCGGUUCUCUGGAGUAGGAGCUGGGAGAGACCCCCAUCUCCAGGGACCCUCUGGGCAGGGCUGUGACCUUGUUUUUUCAUGAGUGCUUUCAGUUGGAGAAUUUAUAUGACUUUGCCCAGAUAAAGCUUCCUUAUGUUACUUUUUCUCUAAAAUUGGUUGGUCAGGCAAGUUACUGGUGAUUUCCCAAAAUGAAAUCUAGCUGUACUAGAAUCUUAAGGUGCCAGCUAAUUUAAAUUAAUGCCCCUCAGUAACGCUGCUGGGUAUCAACCACUAUUGCUGAAGAAUCAACCCCCAAAUGACCUAACUAAGUAAUCUAUCACACUAGGUGCUUCUACUGUCUUGGGUUUUUUGAGCUUUAGAGAGAUAGUCUUUGUAAUAUGACUUAGAAACUGCUUCUCUCUGGCUUUGUUUCAUUCUUCCUCCUCUUCUUCUUCCCCUUCUCCUUCUCCUUCCUCCAUGGUUUCCACAAUGAGCUCUGCUGUGCAGGUGGCUUCUCCAAGACUGUUGACAGCCUUGCAAGUGUACUUGGCAUCAUCAUCCCCGCAAACAUCACUAAUGAUUAAAGAGCAGUUCCCAUCCUCAUCAUAGUCUAUCUGGAAGUGGCGGGACUCCCUGAUUGACUGGUCAUCUUUGAACCAGACGACCUCAGGGUCUGGGUAUCCUGUAUCAUAGGGAGGGAACACAGUUGCAGAAACUAUUAUUUAAAACUUAUUAUCAGUUCAUGCAAACUCUUGAGCUACCUCUAUUGAUUAAGGGGGUAAAGGGAAAAAAAAUUAUGAUGUUGGCUUUUACCAUCUAUUUUGAUAUUUACAUUUGAAUAGGGGCAUGUAUUGUAAACACUAAUAUCUGAAACGCCACAUAAGGUAUUGUACAGGCAUCCCGUUCCCCAGCCAUGUAAGGCUUGUACCACCUCCCACCUUAACACAGAUAUAGCUAACUCCCCGGAACACUGUCCCAGUUCCAACCACAUGCCUGGAGCUAAAUAUCUUCUUGGAUUAAAAGAAAACUUUUUUUAAUCUUGUAUAAAAGAACUUAAAUAAAUUUAAAUAAAUAAGAGUUAGAAAAAAUGGGCACAAGGGAUCUUUUGGGGGUGAUGGAAAUGUUUAAAAAUUGGAUUGUGGUAAUGACUGCACAAUUCUGUAUAUUUCUAAAAAUAAUUGAAUUGUAUACUUAAAAUGGGUGAAUUUUAUGGUGUAUAAAUUAUAAUUCAAAGAUGAUAACAGACCUGUAAAACAUAAAUUAGGGGAACUGACAACACUGCUAGGAAAAAGAAAGCAGUAUUUGUCUUAGUUUGAUCCAAAGACAGACUCAUUCGUCUCAUUUUAUGCAUUAGUCAUGUUGCUGCAAAGUUCAGCAUUAAAAUAUAUGUUUUAUGUCUUUAAAAACAUAAUAAUACUAACUGACUGGUUUUUAAACUUUGGAGAAGUAGUUUUACAGGACAAAAUUGUAGCCCCAGCUAGAAUACAAAUUACACAUAAGAAUUCUAACAUUCUUUUCGAGUAGAAUUUUGCUUUUAACGAACAGCAUCCAUAUGCUUUACUUUCUCCUCAGCAUCCAAAGUGAUGCAAAUACCAAGAAAAUAAUCCCAAAGAGAAAAGUAAGCAAAAAGAUAAUUAUUAUGAAAUAAUAUUUUCUAAAAAAUAAAGGAAAAAGUAAAGAACUUAAGACCCAAAGACAGCGGUGAUGGUGAGAGCUACAAGCAGUGGCCCAGGACUCUCAGCAGAACCCCCAAUCUGAGCACUUCCACACUAGCAAAGGCAGCACAUCCACUUUUUAAAAAAAAUUGAAUGAAAAAAGAGAAAGAUUAUGGUAGGCGAGGCAUUUAUAAGGCAUCUUGGUAAUAUAGUGAUGCAGGAGAAAAAUUGUUUUUUCAUUCCUACCUUUGGGUUACUUUACCCAAAAGGCAUUAUCUAGCCACACUGCUGGAGAAUCUUACAAAGUGGGAGGCAUGGUUCGUUAUCACUGCUGUCCUGUGCUAUGCUGCCUUGGGGAAGUUGGUCUGACCGAAAUGGGAGAUAGCCCUCCACUCUGGUUGGCACACAACAGUCACAGACCUGAAGCAAAGAGGCCUGUCUUAUCUUGCCACUUAGCUUUCUAGAAUGUUGCAGUCUGUUGAGACUGAAAUGCUAUGUGUCACCAACACUGCUAACUUCUCAGGUGCUAUGCUAAGAUCCCUUAGGGUCCCUUGAGCUCUAACAACUCAUUCUGGCCACGUUAUUUCUAGCAGGCAGAGAAACAUGGGGAAGACAGCACAAGGGCCUGGAUCCCAACUUCCCUCAGUUUGAAGUCACACCGCAGGCUGUCUCUGCACUUACCAGAUCCACAACUUUUCCCUUGACUCCAUGACAUCUUUAAAAGACUUGAAAGGUUUCCCCUUUCCACAUGUUAUCUCACAGUCUCCAGAGCCACUCAAGGCAUUAGACACUGUCUUACAGAUGAGGACUAGAGGCUCAGAAGAGCUGAAUCACCGCCCAAGGUCACAGAGCCCAGUGAUUAACAGCAGAGCUGCCUUCUCUGCAUCCUAUGCUCUGUGCCAGCCUUCCUUUGAGAGCCUUUGGUGGGCAGUUCACAUGCUUCCCAUAAGCUUGCAAAGCUCAUUUCAUUAAGCACAUUCCAUAGCCAAAUAGGUCCAUGAUAAACCACUUUUAACUUGGGUGUAGUGGCUGAUGUAAGUAGGUGAAAUAUCCGGUGCGCCCCCAGUGAGUCACUGAGUGGCCCUAAUCUUAAGCAGGUAGAGUGGGGCAGUGGGCCAACUCCUCCUGACCCAUUUUCCCUCACAGCCUGGCUGCCCCAGAACUGACAUUCUGCCAAGGGCACACAGUAGGGGCCCACCAGCCAACCAUACCCCUUUUGUAGGUAAGGGAAGAACAGCUACAAACUUACCUUCGAUCUUGCAGUCAAAUCUAGCAGCACUUCCCUCCACAACUUCUAAAUCACGAAUGGUCUUAGAAAAGUAGGGUUUUACAUGGGGCUUUUCCUCAGCGACAGCCUCAAGGAAAGCUUGGGAGACAUCUUCUAGAAGACGGGGAAGAGGACAUGGUAAUUUCUUUAUUCCUUGUUCUCUCCUCUUCCCUGGUUUAAAAAAGCUGACUUCUUUUUUUCUUUUUUAAGUUGUUAUAAUUUAGCAAAUAAUGGCGCUUAGAGGACUGAAUCAUAAGCACACCUUUCUCCUGGGGACUGGCUGGCCUGCUGCCAAAUGAUUUUGGCAGAAGAGAGAACUGUGACCAAACGGGAAAUGUUUGGACUCCCUCCCUUAUGCUGACACACUGAAAAAGGAAAUAAUCUUUAAAAAAGUUAUCUGGCUGCAUUUCAUGCUGCUUCAGGAUUCAGUUGAGAGUAUCGAAGAAGGACGGAAGCACGCCAUCCCACCUGAUCUCUGUACCCCCUCUGCCCUCCUCUGGAAGCAGCAGGCCUUCAUCUGCUCCUUGGAAGGGAAGAGCCAGGUCCUAGAGGCAUCUGCAAUUUGCCAAUAGCUCUAUUCUCCACACGGAUACUGCCUUCACAGUGUAUGACUCUGGACCAGGGUUUGGGAUUGGUCCAGGGAAAAGCUGUAACUUUGAGUGGCUCCUGAUCCUCUCCUUCCCCUUCAGGCUAUUUCUGGGUCACCUGGAGAGUGGCAGGGCUGGAGCAGGAGGGACCAGGCCCAUGUACAGCAGUCUCGGUCCCGGGCUGCAUCAGAGCAGCUCAGCAAGCAGCCUCACCGAUUACCCUGUCUUAUGCACAAAGGGAGCUAGACUCAGCUUCUCACCUUUGGAUACGAAAAGCAUCAGGCAGUGGUGGGAGGUGGAGGAGUGUCUCAGGCCAAAUGAGGCACCUCAGGAUAAGGGCCAGACCCUACAUGCAUCUGAAGCAGGAAGAGGCCAAGGCCUUCACUGAGGAGAUGGAUGGGGCAGCAUCUCAAAGACGGUGGGCAAGUAACUAACCCUGUUGGUGUCUAGGAGGGGCCCUGCCAGUCACUGUCUACCCAGUUCAAACGACAUAUUCCAGCAUCAUGAAAAAUACCAAACAAAUAUGGACUAUAUGAGUCAAUUUUUGUUUAAAAGGAAAACGCAAAGACACGUUAAAAAAACGGAUAUUUUUAAAAAGUACACUGCUAUAUGUGAUUUUUAUUUUAUGUUUGCCUGUUAUACAAGCAUCGCUUUUGUAAUGAGAAAAACGAAACUUUUAAUAAAGCCUUUGCUAAUUCUUAUCUAAAAUAUAGGGAAAAGGUUAGUGGAGAUCAUCUAGUUCUAUUAGACAAAUAACUCUCCUUCUGAAAAUAGUUAAACCUAAAGUGAAACAAUUAAAGAAUACUACAUUUAAUAAUUAUUGUCAGGGCAGUGUAAAAGUAGUUUCAAAUUUUUCCUUGUAGAUUGUAUUAUUAAAAAACCCAAUCCCCCCACCUUAAGAAAAAAAAAACCUCUAAAUGCCUGUCCAUCCCCCAUCCCUUCCUUUGUCACCAUCGGGCUGGAGAAAAUCUUCCUGGAGCUCCUUACCUUCAGAUUCUAGUUUUUCUGCAUUGAGUGGGCUGGUUGGUGACCCUGUUGAAGAUUUCCUGCCACUGAGCCCUGAGAUCAUUGCCAUAGAGGAGAGUCUUCCAAUGGCUCUCACAGCAUUGCCCGUUUUCUGGAAAAUAGACACUGGCGUUGGACUCAGGCGGUGUCACUGGUUCCAGCUGGGCAGCAGGGCUCAGGGAAAAGAGCCCAGCCCAGGAGAAGCAGCUGUCCUUGAAACAAGGGCCUCCUGCGUGCCGAGGUUCUGCAGAGGAGUGAGCCCAACCUUGCUCUGCUCAGCACUAUCAGCGUGUCAGAAGAUGUUCGGAGAAUGGAAUGGGGCCUGGAACCGAUGUGUGCGUUAAUGUGACUAAACAAGGUCAACAUGAGACAAAAACCCUUUUCAUACUGUGCUUCAACUCCCAUAAAAGGGAUAGUUUAUAUAAAGCAACUGCAGGCUGAGACGGCUCCAAAGACUUAACUGCUGACAGGGCCCAGUGGAGGCUGUUUCUCAUAAAACAACGCUAGUGAUAGGAUUUUAAUUGGCCAAGAGAAUAGUUACUACGGAUCCCACAGGUCCCGCUGGGAAAAGAGAAAAAAAAAAAAAAAGGCCUUCUAUUGACCAUAGGCAAGUCGCUUAACC